GACGAACGCUGGCGGCGUGCCUAAUACAUGCAAGUCGAACGCACUCUCGUUUAGAUUGAAGGAGCUUGCUCCUGAUUGAUAAACAUUUGAGUGAGUGGCGGACGGGUGAGUAACACGUGGGUAACCUGCCCUAAAGUGGGGGAUAACAUUUGGAAACAGAUGCUAAUACCGCAUAAAACCCAACACCGCAUGGUGUAGGGUUGAAAGAUGGUUUCGGCUAUCACUUUAGGAUGGACCCGCGGUGCAUUAGUUAGUUGGUGAGGUAAAGGCUCACCAAGACCGUGAUGCAUAGCCGACCUGAGAGGGUAAUCGGCCACACUGGGACUGAGACACGGCCCAGACUCCUACGGGAGGCAGCAGUAGGGAAUCUUCCACAAUGGACGAAAGUCUGAUGGAGCAACGCCGCGUGAGUGAAGAAGGUUUUCGGAUCGUAAAACUCUGUUGUUGGAGAAGAAUGUAUCUGAUAGUAACUGAUCAGGUAGUGACGGUAUCCAACCAGAAAGCC
rnacentral:rRNA from 1 species